AGGGCGUACGGUGAAUGCCUUGGUGCCAACAGGCGAAGAAGGACGCGGCAAGCUGCGAAAAGCCUCGGGAAGCUGCAAGCAAGCGAUGAUCCGGGGAUAUCCGAAUGGGGUAACCUGAUCGAGGCAAUACUCGAUCGUUCAUACCUGAAUACAUAGGGUAUGAAACGCGAAACCCGCUGAAGUGAAACAUCUCAGUAAGCGGAGGAAAAGAAAGAGAAAUCGAUUCCGUAAGUAGUGGCGAGCGAAAGCGGAUGGAGCCCAAACCGAAGGUAUUCCUUCGGGGUUGUAGGACCACGUCAUAUUCGACCAUACUGGAUAGUAGAACAGCCUGGAAAGGCUGGCCGGAGAAGGUGAAAGCCCUGUAGACGAAAUCCAGAGUGGGAAUUAGUGGUAUCCUGAGUAAUACAUCACACGUGGAACGAUGUAUGAACCCGCGCGGACCACCGCGCAAGGCUAAAUACUAGUUGGCGACCGAUAGUGAACAAGUACCGCGAGGGAAAGGUGAAAAGAACCGCUGUGAGCGGAGUGAAAUAGAACCUGAAACCGUAUGUCUACAAAGUGUCAGAGCAGAGCAAUCUGCGAUGGCGUGCCUUUUGUUUAAUGAGUCUGCGAGUCAGUGUUUGUGGCAAGACUAAGGGCUUCCGGCCCGGAGUCGCAGCGAAAGCAAGUCCGAACAGGGCGCAAUAAGUCGCAGGUACUGGACCCGAAGCGGAGGUGACCUACCCUUGGCCAGGUUGAAGCAUGGGUAAAACCAUGUGGAGGACCGAACAGGUGAACGUUGAAAAGUUCUCUGAUGAGCUGAGGGUAGGAGUGAAAGGCUAAUCAAACCCCGUGAUAGCUGGUUCUCUUCGAAAUGCAUUUAGGUGCAGCGUCACGUGCUGAUGCGCGGGGGUAGAGCACUGACAAGGCUAGGGGGCACACCCGCUUACCAAACCUUAUCAAACUCCGAAUACCGUGCAAUGGAACGUGGCAGUGAGACAGUGGGGGAUAAGCUUCAUUGUCGAGAGGGAAACAACCCAGACCAGCAGCUAAGGUGCCUAAAUAACGCUCAGUGGAAAGGAUGUGGGAUUACACAGACAGUGAGGAUGUUGGCUUAGAAGCAGCCACCAUUUAAAAAAUGCGUAAUAGCUUACUCAUCGAGUGAUCCUGCGCCGAAAAUGAUUGGCGAUCAAGCGUUAUACCGAAGCUCUGGACUUUGCCGCAAGGCAGAGUGGUAGAAGAGCGUUGCAUGCGCGUCGAAGGGCGAUGGCGACUGACCCUGGAGCACAUGCAAGUGAGUAUGCAGACAUGAGUAACGUUAAGCCGGGUGAAAUCCCCGGCCGCCGUAAACCCGAGGUUUCCAGGGCAACGUGUUUCGUCCCUGGGUUAGCCGGGACCUAAGCCGAGGCCGAGAGGCGUAGGCGAUGGACAUCAGGUUAAUAAUCCUGAGCUCGCAACCCUUAAACUGGGGGGACGCAUGAGAAAAGAUGACUAGGUUAUUGAAUUCCGAGUUGAGUCCACGGACUCAGCGCAUCAUUGGAUCGAGUGCCAAGAAAAGCCCCAGCGUAUGCUAAGCGACCCGUACCGCAAACCGACACAGGUGGGUGGGUAGAAUAUACCAAGGCGUAAGAGUGAAACCUGGUUAAGGAACUCGGCAAAUUAGCCCCGUAACUUCGGAAGAAGGGGUGCCUGCAGCGAUGCAGGCCGCAGAGAAAUGGCCCAACCGACUGUUUAUCAAAAACACAGCACUCUGCAAAGACGCAAGUCGAAGUAUAGGGUGUGACACGUGACCAAUGCCGAAAGAUUAAGGCAAGGGGUUAGCCGCAAGGCGAAGCUCUAAACCCAAGUCCCGGUGAAUGUCGGCCGUAACUAUAACGGUCCUAAGGUAGCGAAAUUCCUUGUCGGGUAAGUUCCGACCUGCACGAAUCGUGAAACGAGUUGGGCACUGUCUCAACCAGGCGCU
rnacentral:rRNA from 1 species